UACGGGGGGGAGCAAGCGUUGUUCGGAUUUACUGGGCGUAAAGGGCGCGUAGGCGGCCUCCGCAAGUCAGUUGUGAAAUCUCCGAGCUUAACUCGGAAAGGUCAACUGAUACUGCGGGGCUAGAGUGCGGAAGGGGGCAACUGGAAUUCUUGGUGUAGCGGUGAAAUGCGUAGAUAUCAAGAGGAACACCUGUGGCGAAGGCGGCUUCCUGGACACCCAACUGACGCUGAGACGCGAAAAGCGUGGGGGAGCAAAACAGGG
rnacentral:rRNA from 1 species